CACGUAGGGGACGAGCGUUGUCCGGAUUCAUUGGGCGUAAAGAGUGCGUAGGCGGUUUUUUAAGUUUGGUGUGAAAUCUCCCGGCUUAACUGGGAGGGUGCGCCGAAAACUGGAAGGCUUGAGUAUGGGAGAGGGAUGCGGAAUUCCAGGUGUAGCGGUGAAAUGCGUAGAUAUCUGGAGGAACACCGGUGGCGAAGGCGGCAUCCUGGACCAACACUGACACUGAUGAGCGAAAGCCAGGGGAGCAAACGGG
rnacentral:rRNA from 1 species